rnacentral:lncRNA from 1 species
AAAAAAAAAGGGGAGUUUACAAACUAACUAAAAAAUGCUUGUUUGCUCCACACCACUGCAUUCUAUGAAUCAACCGCAUAAAAUUUCAAUGCGUCACACGUUCUCCAUAUCAAAAAUCCAGAGUGCCACAUUGUUUGCUCUCAAUGUUCUUCGUUCCCUUAUUUUGUUUCAUAUCCUUUGUCCUUUCAUUGUUCUGGCCUCGACUCCGCACAAUUCCCAUCUUAGGUAAGCCUCGAUUCAGUCCUUCCAGCAAAACACAAGCUUUACACCAUUUCUGUGGAAUAAGAAUCAAUAGGAAGGUAAGGAACAUACGCAUUAUUACAAUGACAAUUUCAAAGCUGGAAAUGGGUGCUUUCGGUUUGCUAUUGAGUAUAGCAAGUCUCACCUGGCUAGAAAUGUAUCCACAGCGUUCACAGGUGCCCUGCUCUGGCAUUUUUGUUGAGGUGGAAAUUCUGAAGUUCUCACCUGACUUGAUGAUAUCAAGUAUGGCCCUAGGUCUGCAUUAACAAUCCAUAAAGUGGUAGAGAAAUUUUACAUAUCGUACAUGACGGUUCAGCAGGGAAAUGAGUGAGAAAAGAAAAAGCAUCAUUCUGUCUCAAAGAAGUCACCUUAAUCUCUCCAAAUCUUUAAUGAACUCACGAGCAAAACCACGAUAAGCAUUUGGAGAAUAAAUGCCUGCAAUUGCAAUAACAGCACUGUGAAUUUUAUUUGCAGACACCAGAACUAAAUUAGUUACCUAGAAAAGAAAAGCCCAUCUAUCGUGUAAGUGUGAUGAUAGAUGCUUUAAGCAUCACCAAAAUAUAUCAAGGAAACAAGCAGACACCAACAUUUGAAGAAAAAUGUAACUGGAGCAAAGAGCAAAAAAGAUAACCUAUAGCAAAUGAAAAUCACUGACAAAGGGAUUGGACGAGAAUGAGAAACGAACACUUACAUUCAGUCGAGAAGUAGUCCAGCCUCUUGAAGUAUGCAUACGUAAACAUCUAUUAAGGUCUCACAACUAAAUAAUAUGAAUAAUAAUAAUAAUAAUAAUACAUAGACAAUUUAAUACUUCCAUGAUAACAAAUCAUUAACAAUUACAAGGAUAUAUUACAAUCUCCUUCUCAUAAGUGUACUUAAAAGGUUUGCAUCUUGGAAUCGGUCCAUCUUCACCAGUUGUUAUCAAUGUACAUCUACUCAAUCUACACGGUACAGCAUGAAUUUAGCUUCCUGAAAAAAGUGUGAGAUAAAACUGAAAGAAAAACCUUACUCAACAAUUCAUUACCUAGCAAUAUCACCUCGCAAUAUGUUCAAUAGAACAGUUUCUGCAAUAUCAUCUGCAUUAUGUCCCGUUGCAAUCUUGUCUACUUUCAACAAUGAAGCACCUCGAUCAAGGGCCUAAAAGAAACUCAACAGCUCAAUCUAUCUUAUCCCAUAGAUUACAGAAAGGCUUUAGAAGUUGCAAAACAGCCGCACCUUAGUAUAUUUCUAAGAAAAAUUCUCAUACACACAUAGAAAGGGAAACAUAUGAAUGCACAACAAAACCUCUGAGGCUCUGCUACAAAAAAUUAUGCAUUUUUUACCUAAAGACUGACUACAUUGAGUGACUGGAUUUGGAUUGCCCAAGAAUCCACAGUUCAUAUGAGCAGUGCUGCUGUUGGACCCUUUUUCUACAAUUGUCUCAUCAGCCAAAGUGCUUUAGCAACAAAAUUAAUGGGUAUAAAGCAGGCAUAUGCUAGAUUUCUAGAAAGACGACAGAUCGAAUGAUAAUAAUUUCCUUUUUAAAAAGAACGAAAUGUAAUCUUCAGAAUCAAUAUGCAAUAAUGAAGAUGUAGGUAACUACAUAUUUUUCAGCUCCAAAAACUUGUUGGAAACAGAAAGGAAUCUGCGGAUGAUACAAGAACAAGCAUUAAUUUACAUGAUUAUAAGGAAUAUUAAUCCUCCUAUACCCUCCUAUACCUGGCGACGAAAAACACCACAAAAGGUGCAAUUAUUCUUUAAACCGAUCACCUUCACUAUCUCAUCCAUUGUCCAUCCAUAUAAAUCCUUGUAUGAAACAAUCUUCAGUGGCAGACCAUACUGCAGAGGGGAAAGAAUGUAGGAAUAAACAAACACAAGGAUGAAAAAACGAAUACAAAUGUAAUAGCGGUUGACUAAAAUAAUCUGUUAAAUUUUGCAUUUCCGUCCAUAUACAAUUUACUCUUUAACAAGUAAGAAAUUGAAUUUUACAACAAUAAGAACAAGUAGAAAUCAGUUUAGUCAAAUUAAAAGAAAAAAGAAAAUUUAAGUUAAAAAGAGAGAGACAGGGAGAGGGAGGAAAUUGCAUACCUGAAUUUCAUUUCUUUUGACAGUUUGAAGUGAAUCAUCCCUGUAUCCUGAAAUGCCUUCAUCAAUUGAUAGGAGGAAAAGAUCAAGGCCAUAGUUGUGACGCCGGUUCAGCUCUGACAACACAAAAGCAAGGACAGUGGAAUCUGCAACAAACAAAACAUGUACGAGCACCAACGAAAUUAAAAUAGCUAUAGCAAAAAACAUACGAAAGUAAGAUGACAACAGCAUGAAAAAGCAAUAACCUUUUCCACCAGAGGCGCCGAUGGCAAUACGCUCACCAGCCUUGAAUAGCUGAUUGCCCACAAUGACUUGGUGGAUCUCCUCCUCAAAUACCUCAUAGAAACACUCCCUACAUAUCUAUUUUACAUAAUAGCAAACACGCCACGAGUAAAGCUAGUGUUAUUAAUUGACGCACAGAGAAUUUAGGGGGAAAAAAAAGGGUUACCUGUUCUAGGGUUUUAGGUCGUUUGAGGGCAGCCUUUCUCUGGUUACAGGUGGAACAAAGGCGGCCACCGGCCUUCUUGGACUUCGACUCGGCGACCUCCAUUGACGGUUAAUGGCCCACUAAGUAAACUAUGAAGAGACAAGCUAACAGACUUACAAGAGAUCAAGUUUGGGUUAUGAGGGAAAAAUUGAAGAUUUGAGUUUGCUUUUGCAGUGCGGCAACAGCUUCUCGGAAUGGAACUGUUAUGAAAGCAGCGGUCCGACCGGCACCCUCACCCCUCCAAAGUCUCUGGACCUUCUCAUUCCCUAAACUUCUUUUAUUACCAUAAUAUCCUUAACUAAAUUACAAUUAAGGACAAUCAAUUGGACAAAUAGACGAAACCUAUUUUCUCUAUUCAACUACCGUGUUUCACUCGAACAUCGCGAUUUUGUCAAAUAAUUACACAAUAUUUCGGUCGAUAACUCAAUACAUAGUAAUUGUAUUUUACAUGCCCAAUAAUAUAAAUUCACAAGAUACUCUCAAACAUAAAAGCCGCGACAAGAAUCUUAAGAGUUGGGGGGGGGGGGCGCAAANNNNNNNNNNNNNNNNNNNNNNNNNNNNNNNNNNNNNNNNNNNNNNNNNNNNNNNNNNNNNNNNNNNNNNNNNNNNNNNNNNNNNNNNNNNNNNNNNNNNNNNNNNNNNNNNNNNNNNNNNNNNNNNNNNNNNNNNNNNNNNNNNNNNNNNNNNNNNNNNNNNNNNNNNNNNNNNNNNNNNNNNNNNNNNNNNNNNNNNNNNNNNNNNNNNNNNNNNNNNNNNNNNNNNNNNNNNNNNNNNNNNNNNNNNNNNNNNNNNNNNNNNNNNNNNNNNNNNNNNNNNNNNNNNNNNNNNNNNNNNNNNNNNNNNNNNNNNNNNNNNNNNNNNNNNNNNNNNNNNNNNNNNNNNNNNNNNNNNNNNNNNNNNNNNNNNNNNNNNNNNNNNNNNNNNNNNNNNNNNNNNNNNNNNNNNNNNNNNNNNNNNNNNNNAAUCUUAAGAGGGGGGGGGGGGGGCGCAAAAAGAAAACAGAGAUUGCAUUGGGAAGUUUUCAAGAUCUGCAAAUGCCUCCUUGCCCUUACGUCACUGAGUAAUUCCCUUGGGGUUUCUCACUGUAAAACAUCGGAAUUUUGUCAACUUAUUCACAGACAAUUUUAAAUUAUUUAUAGGGUAUCAUGCGGUCCCGAAUUCACGAUCUAUCUAAAUGCUUUUUAGUAACAGUAUAAAAAUAACACAUUAAUUCAAUUAGAUGCGUGAAGAGAGCGAAAAAGGCAAAAUAUUUGUUUUCUAAAGAGAGAUUAAUUGACUUCAAUAGAGAAGUUUAGUAAUGGCUAUGAAAUGAGUUAUAUGCAAAAGACAAAUGAUUUUUUUUAAUUAAGGAUAUUAUUGAGAUUUCUGAAGAUUUAUACAGUAAAAUACGAUUUUGUAAUUUAAUAGAGAGUUUGUAAAGUAAAAAUAGGUUUAAUGAGUAAUCUUAUGAGUUUAAAUAAGCGCACUCAACUUCAUUUUCUAACUUACAAAUCUAUCCGCUAAUUAAUUACACUAAAAGAAAAAAAAUAAUUCAAAUUAAACAGAUUAGCCUCAGUACACUCUUUAGUAUUACAUAAACCGAUAUGUUCCAAUAUAAUGAUGGACUGAAUUCAAUAUUGUUACCGCCUUUUUGUUAUUGUGGUUAGAAAUUUUAUGCUACAACAUUAAAUAAAAUAUUGCGUAAACACUAAACACAUACGACUCCAGGUUGAAAGUUGAGUUGGCACUAUAAACAUUCAUUAAUUUCUUUAUUAUUUUUAUCAAAUCAUUAAUAUUUUUUUUAUGCUUAAAAGCUGCAGGCAAAUUAAACCUUUCUGAAAAAGACAAACGAUUAUAGUAUUAUACUCCUAUAGAAGAUUUUUUUUGCUCCAAUUUCUCUUGAGAACAAUAACAUAUCGUUCUCAUUUAUAACAUAGUUAUUGUCAUCUUUUAAGACCAACCUUGAGAUCCCUUCCGAGCUCGAUCACGGUUGUAAACAAACCCACGGUUAAUAAAGGGUUCCAUUCCAUCGAGGCCGUUGAGCUUGAGCUGUAAGCAAUAUUUGUCUGUCUACCUGAAAUUGGGAUCGAAGUUCACUGAUUUCAAGGCUCUAGCUAUGGCCAAUGGAGGUGGUGUAACUAAGGAAUAUGCCCCCUAAAACCAAUUUUGAUCAAAUCAUAAUGCUACAGUAGGAGAAACAGUAACCCCCCAACAAAAAAAAAAAAUUCGACUGAAAUAUUUUAAAAGUUAUGAAAUGUAUGAAACUAUUGAUAAUUUAUACAAAAUGUAACAGAAAAUGUGUGUGGAUACAUACACGCAGAUUCGCACUGGAAACAUUAAGAUCAACUUUUAACUCACCAUGCCCAAACCUAACUUGUACAAGGUCUUUCUGUGAACCGGCAGAAGCACCCUCUAUGACACAUUGAAACUAUUGCUUACAUGCAGGUAAGAAGUUAGCAGUCACGCCCUGAGUCACCCUUAAGUCGUUGGUAUAUGUCACUCCGUAAAAUCUCCGCAUAUUCCUGCAAUAUUAAACCCCCCAAAAAGAGAGAAAUCUUAAGAUCUGAACAAUAUAAUAAUCAUCAAGCUUCAAAAGUAGAACAUAAUUGCUGUUAGGGAGCAUCACAAACCACAGUGGCAUGGUACUUACCUCUGCAAGAUCCUCAUCACUGCAUAACUCACUUACAAGAUCUUCGCGGCCGCUUCCAUUGCAAUGAAGCUGGCCAGCAUUUUGGACAACGGCUCGGAAGACCUCUCCAGGUGGAUCCAAGUGCUCAAUCCUCUGAACCACUUGUUGGAUUCCUAUCUGGAAGACAAUUAAAUAAAUCAGGAAAUAGUUACUAACACUGAUUGAUAAAGCAAAGUCCUUAUCAACACAUAUGGUAAUAAGGCAAUAAAAGUAAUCAGUAAUACAGUUUCCUUCCAGCAUCUAUAUGCAUAUGCCCAAGAAAUUUCUCGUAUGUUACAGGAUAUAAAACAAUAGAGUUUCAUCAACACUCGUAUAACUACACCCGGGUAUCGCAAAUUGAAUAACACAAGAACGGUUAAACACAAAGGAAACAGCCUUUUGAGUUAGUAGCCCGAAUCGAUUUUAGCAGAGUCAAAAAUCAAAACCAUCCUGUAAAACAUGAGAUUUUAACACUUAAUUCAGUUUACUAACUUCCCAGGUUCUUUACUAUUUUGUCUUUUCAGAACGUGUACAAACCUGAAUUGGAUCAUCAGGGUUGUCCACCCCACUUGACCUCCUCUCACUACACUGAGGUGUGCCAGAAAGGGGUUGAGGCGUAGAUCCACGACCUAGAGCUUGAGAAACAACAGGCAUCAUCUGUUGGACCAUUCUUGACAAGUCAAUACCACCAGCCCAACCACCCCCUAACCCUGAAAACAUGUUUCCCACAUCCUGGGUGUCAAUCUGCUGAGCAAUUUGAUUCACAGUAUUCAAGACUUGCGGGCUCUGAGUGAGCUGCUGCAACAUAUUUCUCAAUACAUCCGGAGAACCAAUCCCAGUUUGCUGUGAAAACCCUGACAAUAGACCAUUCAACUCAGUGCUACGUAGAACUUCAGAUAUAGCACUUGCAGUGUCAACUUGGCUGUCGAUGUCUUGCCCUCCUGACUGUUUACUCUCUGUGACCCUCUCAACUACAGGUAAUUGACCAAAGGAUAGCUCAUUUGCAUCUAUCCCAUUCCUUACGGAGCUGGAAGAUGCAAGAGUUUGCAAGAGAUGCUGGCCAACAGAUGUAGAGUUCAAGUUUUGAUCAAGAGGAGCAUUGCUCAUUCCACCAUCACUACUCUUGACCGGGGUCUUUGGCUGCCUUGGCCGCCUCUGAUCACAUAAAAAACAAGGGAGUUGCAAGCAAUCAGAUAGCAGAAGACAUCAAAGGAGAACACAUCAGAGAAAAUUGAUUAAUAUACUGAAACAGAAGGGUUAGCACACAAAGUGCCAUAGAGAAAGACUUUGGAGAAAAAAUAAUUACUAAAAUGGAGUGCUUAACAGUAUCAAUGUAAUACUUGGGUAAGUAAACAAAGAGCCAUCUGACAAUCAUGAAGAUCUAGCCUGCGAAAAAUUCCAUGCACAUAUUUGAGUAGGAAUCUUUUUUUUUCCCUUCUUUUUUUUUCUUUUUAAGGAUCUUGUCAGAAGACUUGGAUCUAACAGCAACUUCAAAGUACCACAAUAUGAAGGAUAUUUCGAAUAUUUUUUAAAACGAACAAAAUUAUCAUACCUUCCGUUCUAAACCCCCCAGCCCCAAUCCAAGUGGAGCAGCUUUGGAACCCUCCUGCAGAUCUUGCUUCUCAAUAGAUCCAAGAGCAUUUCCUGAAUUGUCUUCUGACUCUCCACUUGAUGAACUCUGAGCACCUCCACUAGAAGAUGAUGGUGCAUCUUUAGAACUCAAGACGCUCCCCAUACCUUCAUUAGUCCUUACAUGAUCUCCUUCAGGUAGUGCCUGCUACAUUAUCAGCAGUGGUCAAAGGAAAUCACAAAAUUAUUCCAAUUUGCAUCAUCCAAGGUUUUUAUACAAAGCAAACCUUCUGACUUUCACUUUCCGGUGUGUUCCCGGAUAAAGAGACCCUAAGUUCACCAACUCUGUUAACUGGUGUGCUACUGAGCUGUUCAUUGCCAGCAUAACUUCCUACCAUAGAUCCAUCAGAUAAAUUCUGCCCCGCUGACAUCACUUCAGCUACAUACAGAAAGAGCAGUAUUUGUCAACCGUGCAGUCAUUAGUACAUGAAUUAGUAUCAAAGGUACCUACCUGAUGGAACCUGGUUUUCUCCUUGCAUGUUACCAACAAAGUUCCUGAUUUGUGAAUUCACUUGAUCAACAACAGAGGAUAGCAAACCUGAGUUGGCAGAUAGCUGAGGUACGGAUAAGCCUGGACCAGGUUGGGCUACAGUGGAAAUUGCAGCAGCAGUAGGACGUGAUGGUACAGCUGCUGCAAUGAUAUUUCUCACAGGUAGGACCCUCACUGAACCAGAACCAGCCAACUCUGUAGAACCAGUAGCAUUCCUGCGUUCUCCCUGCACUCCAUCCCCAUUACUUGCCCUGGUACCAAUUGUUGAAAGAACAGGUGCCAGUGCAGUGCCUAAUAACACGUACACCAUCAGAUCCAUAAAAGUAUAAGCAGCACGUUAUGCAUAAAAUUUACCUACCAGCAUGUAUAUGAAUAUUUAUGUUCCUUGGGGCAUGUCCAACACCAACUGGGCCAAUAUUCAUGGGAUUUGAUGAAGGAACUGAACCGCCAAACAAAGAGCUGGUUUGGAUAGGAAAUGGCUGUAAAUAAAGGAAAGCCAUGAAUAAAUAGGUACAUUAUAACCAGCUUUUUUUAAUCAUUUCAAAUCCUAAGAUUGUAGCUAGUAAAUCGUAAAAGAGCUCAGCAUUUAAAUUGUCAGAGAGAUACAGUGACAGAAACACACAAUUGAAGCAACAUAAUCCAAGGAAUAAACUAUCUCCUAUGCAAUUCCAAAACCAUCAUAUUCACUGCAGUCAGCAAAUUUCACUACUACUCACACUCUCAUUUUUUCUCUUUAAGCUCUAUACUCUUUAGCAAAGGUUUUCAUUACCUUUUUCCAGCCAAAUACAGCACUCUGUAUCCCCUCCCUGUCUACAUGAAAGGAGUAUAAUUUUAUACUGCAGUAAGCGUAUUAUGUACUGUUCCUCCACAAUGCAUAAUUAUUAAAAUCUGUCAGCUGGUAACAGAUUUUGCCAGUACGUACAACAUAUUUACUGUCCUAGGAACAGCUAACUUAACACAUUACUGUUACAAACCACCAACAUCAUGUUUAUCCAACCAUUCACCACGGCACAGGAAGACCCACUUAUACCCUCAAAUCUUAUUCUACAUGUGUGAUAUAUACCAAAACAUAUGAUACAUAAUUAUUGACUAACCUGAACCAUUAUUGGAUUAGGUCCUGAUGGAGAUAUAUAAACAGCAGGCCCAGCAUUGACAGAAAAUUCCACCUGCAAGUUGCAGUGGAAAAAAAAAGGUGAAUAUGUACUCAAAAAUGUGAACAUGUAAUCACAAAAAGAGCCAAUAUGCAGAGGAUAGACUAGAACAUACAGGAGACUGCCCCAUACGGAGUGUCAAAAUUACACGACCAAGCUCUAACAGAAGAGAACCCAAGUGUUGCAUUGCAAAUCCUAUUUGCACAGAUUCUGCCUGAAUUUGACCCCUGAUAUUAGGAUCUGAAGAAGCACCCUCUUGCUCCAAACGUCCUGCGAUAUGCUACAUUAUAAAUAACACUUAAUCAGAUUACUAGAGUUAUCCCUCCAAGAAAAUAAUAAUAAUAAUGAUGAUGAUAACUAAAGAAAGAAGCAAAGUUGGUCCAUUUUCAGCAACUUUAUCUCAAAAACUUUUCUUUCAUAAGAUAUGAGUGAUUAUAAAAUAUUGCUUUGAUAUUGGUAAAGUGCAUGCUUUAGCUUCAAUAAGUGAUUAAAUCUUGAUUCCAAAUACUACAAAUAUGCACUGACAACUAUGUGCGAUGCAUUUCAGAAAAAAUGAAAAAAGAAAAAAAAAUUGUGGUGAUUAGCGAAAUAACUUUCUAUAAUUUAAAAUGUGCAAUUACAAUGAACAAAAUCAGCAAAAGAUUCAUAAGUUCAUCUGAUCAACCAGCAAAAGUAGAAAGAAAAGUCAAACCCAAUAACAUUAAGGAAAUAACUGAUCAAUACAACAGUAUAGAAAACAGACUCUAUAAACACAGAUGUAACAAAGGGAUUGAAAAUGCAAACUCAGCUCUGACUAGCUUUACAGAAAGAUAUAUGCUUUCCGUUCCAAGAUAAAUUUUAAUGAAAAUAAUCCACUAAUAUAUGCUAAUGGAAACCAGGCACAAACACAUCUCAGUUUCAAACAAAGAUAAGGAUCCACCAAUGCAAAGACAAAAAGUGAAAAGAAGUGUUCCAAGAAUAGUAUUUACAGAGAGUGCAGCCACAGUGUGACCACUGAGAAGCCUUUGUGCACGUUGCAGGACAAUGUUCAAAGCUUCAGGAGUUGGCAAACCCCGUUCGUUGGAUGGUAAUUCAGGUCGUGGUACUUCUUCAUUACUAGUUGAUGAUGUAUUUGGCUGAUACCCUAUACAUCACAGAAACAGUUAGUUGGAAGUUAUAUCAAGCACAGAAGCACAAGACAAUGCUUUAGCACAAUCACCAUUUUGGGACAGUGUCUGCUCCAUGUGGUUCAUAAACUCUGAAAUUGUAUUUAAAGAAUCAGGAAUUGGCUGAAACCAAUAAAGAAAUGAUAUUAGUAAAUAAUAAAGGCAUAUAACAAGUAAACAUGCACAAAUAGAUAUUUCCAUACCACAUUAAGUGAAGGAAAUGGCACAGCUCCUGCUGUCUGAGGAAUUUGCACAACAGGAGGUGACGAUAAUUGACCAGGAUAUGGCUGUCCGGACUGUGCUUGAUUUCCCACUUGGCUUUGAUUCCCAACAUGCCCACCACUGCCAGCUGUCUCAUUUCCUUGUUGAGGCUGAGCAUGAAUAUUUGACUGCAAAUAAUAACACGAUCAUUUGAAUACACUAAACACAUACACAGGUAUUUCCGAUUGCAGCAAAGAACUACACAAAUCAGGAAAAUGAUUUAAAUGGCUACUUACACGGAUGACAGACACCAUAAUGAAUAGGUUCAACAUGAUAGCCACAAAUGGAGCUACACAGCCAAAUUUGUCUAUAAAACUGUGAAAAUAUGUUCAUGUGAAUGAAUGCAUUGCUCAAAACAUUCGAUUGGAUAAAAGAAUGUGACAACCACAAAUGGAGCUACACAGUCAAAUUUGUAUGUAAACAGUGAAAAUAUGUUCAUGCGAACGAAUGCAUUGCUCAAAAUAUUUGAUUGGAUAAAAGAAUAGCAUAAUUAAGGAAAAAUGUCUCCGGCUGCCACUUCCAUUUAAAAAAAUAAAAGAAAACCCAUCCCAUGAGCGAGAAAGUAAAUUAUUUAGAAGGGAAGGUUGAAAGAUGCUCCAUCACGCUAGCACAAAGACAUAAAAAAAAUUAAAAAUGCAAACUUACCAAAGUUGAAAACUGUAUGCCACUAUUACUGCCAGUAGCUGGGGUCUGACCACCAAUUCCAAGGGAAUUGAUAAGUGCCCCAAUAACCUACAAGUCAACCAAUAAGGGGUUAACAACUUGUGGAAACAACAAAAUACAAAUCCUUCCAUCCUUCCUUCUCUUCCUGCAACAGCAGUUAAAAAACCUGAUACAAAGAUAUAUUAAAGCCCACCAAGUUAAGAAAAAAGUAAUAUUUUCAGACGCACCCGAGUGAGGUCUGGAGCAAUGCCUUCACCUUGAUCCCCAACAUUGAAGGUCCCAAGAAGUACACUGUGAGAAACUUGCCCCAUACGACCACGAGGGGCAUUAGCAUUGGCUUCGCUACCUGCCAAAUUAGGACAGAAACCAUGACUAACCGACUUAGAAAUGAUCAACAUUGCUGUAAGAAAAUGCUUGGAAUUACGAACUGCCGGAGAAUCCUAAUUGGAGAAUCAGUACCUCCAGUAACAUUGUUCCCAUUUGUCUCUCCAGAGCUCGCAUCAGAUGAAGGCUGUGAUUGAGCUGGCUGCCUAAUUACCAAAUGCAGUGUAUGCCCAUUCUCAACAUCUAAAAACAGUCAAGGAAUUCACGGAAUUGCAGUGAUAGAAAAAUCCACUUAGAUGGCUAAAUGAGCCAUAAGAUAGUGAUAAAAUACUGGUGUAAUAAAACAUCAAUACAGCAAGUGAAACUAAGAAUAUAUGGCAAACAAAUCGCAGCCCAGAAACUCUUUAACGCAAAAAUAAAGAUCGCAUCAAUGGGGAGAUACGGUAUUCAGAAAGGAGAUGUUCAUCCUUUAACACCUUUCCCCUGAAUAUCAAUCGUUGCUGGCCAACUGGGACACCAAUAUCAUUGGCUAUCUUCUCCUUGAAUAAUGUAACUGGGAUCUGAAUCAGAAUGACAUUAUUUGGAAAUGAAUCCAGUGAAGUUCAAAUUUUCCAAAGAAAAGAAAUCGAUUAGCACAAUGAAUUUGUGAAUUUCAACAAUUUGGAGGUCCCAUUCAUGAUAUGCAAAUUGUAUGAACAAAAACUGUUAUUUCGGUCAUCAAUAAGAAUGAAAAUGCCAACCAAAAUAACCGAAUAACGAUUACAGUGAAUUGAAACAAGAAGCAUGAUCAAGACUUUGCUCACAUUUUUGUCAACUUGGAAACUAUAAACCUGGGAUUCUAAAGUCUUGACAUUGAUCUCUACAAUUGCAUCUGAACUUUUGCCAGAAACAUUGCCUGUGCUGGAACUCUCAUUGGGAUAUUGAUCCGCCAUGAUAAGCAGCAGCAACCUGAGUGCAAAAUCAGUUACUGUACAAAUUCAAACUCUGACAUACAAGCAAUCGCAUAUCACAAAUGCAAAAUGGUACUUGUCAUUUUCUAAGUUUGUUGCAAUCUGAAGUUUACAGAAUAUCUAUCUAUCUGCACUGGCGUUAGUAGCUGAUGCACCGGCAUGCAAUUAUUCAGAUAACGAAUGCGACAAAGGACAUUUAAUGCUUAAAAUGAAAAGAUGCUAUGCAGCACUUUGAAAAGUUUUAAAUGUCAGCAUCAUACAUUUUUAUGUAUAUGGAUGUUCUUUCUCGUCUUAAGUUGCAAUAACAUGAAAGAGAUACUACAAAACAGACACAUUGCAACCAAUGCACUUACUUAACGCUAGAAUACACAAAAUAAGAGCCAUCCUAUACCUCCAUAAAAUCAUAACGAAUAUAAUACACUCUCUCUGAAAUAUACCUUCCUAUCAAAAUCUAACCUAAUGCCGCAUCUAAAGGCAAACAAGAUCCCAAUUCUAUCAAAUUGCAAGAAGGAAGAUGACAUAGUUUUCAAAGCAAGAAAUUAUGCAUGGUGAGUUUAUAAAACCCUAAUGCUGAUCAAAUCCUGAAUGCAUACAAUAAAAAUCCACAAAAAAAAAAACACUUCUUCAACCAUUACUCAGCUUUUAUUAUAAAAAAGAUGCUGGAGAUCGCAAUCAAUCAUAACAUCAAGGCGAAGAGAAAUAAAAAUAUUAAAUAAAUAAAAAGUUAAUCCUUCGAUACAAGAGUACUAAGAUAAAACAAAAAUUAGAUACUAAAAUUGCUAAACAGAACGAGUUCCGCUAUCUGCUUAGGGCGUGCAAGAAUAAAAUCGUGACACGUUUAAUCCGUAUAUAUAGCCCUCCCCGCCCCAACAAAAAAAAAAAAACAGAUACAAAGUAUUCAAGAGAGAUAAGAGCAGGAAAAAUGGAAAACACGAGAGGAACCUUUAGUUGCAGAAAUCUGAAAUUAAAUUAGAGUGCAAAGACGACGGGAAAAAUACGGCGGCGCCGAUUUGAGUGUUAUUUAUUUAUUUUUCGUUGGUUGGGGAAGGGGGGUUAUUUUUGAAGAAAGGCUUGGCUCGGGUCUCUUAACGAAUGCGGAAUGCCUUUGGGAGUAAGAAAAGAAGUCUUCUUUGGUCUAGAUAGUAGAUAGAGAACACGGGUGAUAGGGCGGUGCCGUGGUACAUGACCCGAGUUGACCGGGUUUUAGCUGCUUUAAUGAACUGUGCAAUCGAUUAUACCACGAGGUACGUUUGGCAAGAAGAAUCUAGAAAAAAGAAGCUGAGCGUAAGGCUGUGCAAGGGAAAUUCAUUCUACGGUGCCGUUUUGUUGGUGGUCUUGGUUUUCAGGUUGGAUGCAAGAAAGUUCAAUAUGGGCCUCGACAAUUCAAUAAGACCUGCCCAUUCCUAGAUGGACUUACAUUAUUGCCACCCCUCUAAAUGCCGCUUAAAAUCCAUUUUCUUUAUUAAUCUCAUUAAAACGUUUAAAAAUAAUACAACGUGUUUUUACUAGUUACGUUAAAAAAAAAAAAAAAAUCAAUUGAAACUUAUUCGUGUAAAUCAACGCCAUUCUUUAGUAUCCUCUUGUUCACAUUCCUCAACCAAUUUUCUUUUUUUGUUUGUUUUAAGCAUUAUUGGCAUAAUUCAGUGUACUGGCAACCAUGUGCAGGGCUUGUAGAUUAUUUCAAUUGGAUCGAUUUUUGACGAGGCAGCAAUGAUGGUGGCUCGACUUGGGUGUGGUCGGCUCGUGAGUGUAGUCGCCUAGUCGGCUUGAUGGGGAACGUGCAUAUUAGGCCAGUUUUGUGGGGGCUGGUGGCGCGAAAGAUUUGCGUCUCCCGUCAAAGUUGGGAUUGGUUAGAUCGGCUUGAUGUGGAGGAGUGGCGGUUCGAUUUUGUAGGGGCUGUUGGUGUGGCGGUAGUGUGGCAGUUGAAUGGUAGUUGUUUUUGUAUAGUGGCGGUGGGUUAGAGUGUGGAAUAGUUUUCCGGUUAAAGCACGUGGCGGUGGUUUGGAUGGGAGUAGACGGCGUCAUUGUUGUUUAGUGAGUGUCCGCAACGGUGGGUCGUCGCCACCGUCAGCCAAAUAAGCCAUAAAAGCCAAUCAAGGUGUUUGGUGCAGUUUGGCCGCGAAACAGAAAAUUUUUUACUUGUCGGUGAGGGUUUAAUUAGUAAUUAUAUCCCCUUUAAAAAAUAUUAGUAACUAUAUCCGAUAAGUAAUUUUAAUAAAAAUUAAAAGAGUGUGGCUAUCAAGGAUGAGUGUCUCAAUACUCAUUCUUGAUAUUUUACAUACGUUCUUGUUCAUAAUUAUUUGAAGGAGUUUUUGUCCCCUUCAUGAAUAAUAAAUAAAAAAUUAAAAUAUUUAAUAAAUAUUAUAAUAAAAAAUUGGGCCAAUAGGAUCAUGUCUAGUAUUUUUAAUGCUCUGAAUAAAAAUUUAAACUACAACCAUUCAAUUAGGUCUAAAAAUUUAAUAAUAUAAACAUUUUGAUAUUUAUUUUUUAAACCAAUAUUUAAUAUUGUACAAUUUAAAUUUUAUUAUUUAUUCACUAAUAAUUUUAAAAAAUAAAACUAAAAUUAAAAAGAAAAAAGAAAAAAAUAUGGAUGGGAUGGGAUUCACUUCAUCGCCGUCCUUUCUCUUAAUAAGAAGUUGGGUAAAAACUAGUUCCAGUCAUUUUCCCUAAUAAGAAAUUAGAUAUAAAAUUAUUCUUAUAUGAUCUCCAAAUGGGAAAAAUCCCCAACGAUCCCCAUUUCCAUAGGAAUUUCUGCCAGUGCCAUUCCUAAGAGCUAUUUGAAUUCAUUAAAUUCUUCUUUACACUUAUUUACUUAGUAAAUCUACUAUUAAAAUCUUAAAAUUAAAUUUUUACCGUAUAAACUUCUUAAUAUCACACAAAUAGUCCUAAUAAUUAUAUAUUAUUGCUGCAUAUUAUUUUACUCUUGAGGUCCACUGAGCCCCUUUCAUGUUUAUCUCUUACUCUUCGUUGUCAUUUUCUCAAUUUCUUUGUAUUUAUGAUUUUAUGUUGCAGAUCUAGUAUAUUGAAAAACCAUCUCUUUGUUUUGAAAUUUGUUUAAUUUUAUGACCCAAAUAUUAGGACCCAAAUACAUAAUCAUUCAUCUAAAAUCUCAAUCAGAUAGGGCAUCUUGCAUCCUUGUUCUAUGGAGGUGUGCUAUCUGAAUUCACUCUUACAAAAUAUUGCUAUUGCAACUGCAGCAAUCUAAAAUCAUUCAUGUAUCACGGUGAAAAAAAAAAUAAUUAUAAACAAAAUAUUUUAUUUAAAGUUGAGGAGAUGGUUACGGUUUAUGGAGGGUGCAAUCAUUUAUGGUGUGUUUACUUCAUGUGAAUAGGAAUGCGUUGGAAUGGGAAUGUGUUGGGAAUAAGAUUUCAUUGUUUACUUAACAAAAUAAAUGGGAAUGAGAAUAUAUUGAAAUGUCAUUGAUGUGUUUACUUGACAAAAUAAAUGAGAAUGAAGAAUGAUAAUGAGAAUCAAAUUACCAAAAUACUCAUAGUAUUAAUAAUUAAUAAAAAUAAUUAAUUUAUCAUUAUUAACAAAUAUUAUCAUUAUUGUUGUUGUUGUUGUUAUUAUUAUUAAUAAUAAAAUAUUAUUACUAUUUUUAUUAAUAUUAUCAUUAUUAACAUUUAUUAUUAUUAUUAAAUUUUAUUAACUUUAUUAUUUUAGCUAUUAUUAAUUAUUUUUAUUUUUAUUAAUAUUAUCAUUAUUAACAAUAAAAUAAUGAUAAAAAUAAUUAAUUUAUCAUUAUUAACAAUAUUAUCAUUAUUAUUGUUGUUGUUAUUAUUAUUAUAUUAUUAAUAAAAAUAAAAAUAAAAAUAAUUAAUAAUAACUAAAAUAAUAAAGUUAAUAAAAUUUAAUAAUGAUUAUUAUUAUUAUUAUUAAUGACAUUUAAAAUAAUAAAAUUAUUUGUAAUUUGAACAAAGGUAAUUUACGAAAUAUGAAAAAAUUAGAAGGAUAUAAAAAUAAAUUUAUGUUUCAUUCUCAUUCCCAACCCCCCAUGAGAAUGAGUUUCUUAUUCUUUAUUUUUAAAUUAUGUGGGACCCACAUAAUUUAUUCUCAUUCCCAAAUUUAAUUUUGUCAAGUUAACAUAACUUUGAUUCCAAUUCCUCUAUUCUCAUUCCUUAUUCUAAGAAGUAAACACACCGUUAGAUAAUUAACUUAUUUAUCAUUUUUAAUAGUUUUACAUUAGACUAUGUUUUGGAAUAUAAUUUUUUAUUAAAAAAUGGAUCUAACAAGAAUUUCUAUGGAUCAAAUAAUAUCACCCAAGUGAAAAUUAUAGAAUAACUAAUGGGGUAAUGGAGUUUUACGAGGCAUGUGGAGGGUUGCAUAUAGCCAUAUAGGCCUAGUCUUGCAUAAGUUUGUGUUGGAUUAGCUUUCCAAAGAUAAAGACAAUAUUUGGUAUAACAACAGUUAGGUGGGGCUAUCUGAACCUAUUAAUUUCUUUUAUAAAUUUAUCUAAAAAAUAUAUAUUUGUUAUUAAAUCUUAAUAUUUUGAAAUUUCAAAGUUAACCCCCCCACUAAUUUCGUCCUUUUUCAAUCUCAUUGCAACCAAAUUUUUCCUAGCAUGGUUGUCUAUAAAUAAAAUAUAAAUAAAACUCUCUUAACUUUAGAUAGAAAUUAAAAUGGAGAUAUUUGUUAAUUUAUAUUAUUUCUUGAGAUAGAAAUUAGGAGGUGUUAGUUUUUCUUUAUGAAAAUUUAGAUGAAAAAAAUGAUUUAUUCUUUAUGGUAUAUGAAGAUUGCUCGCAAAUGUUGAGUUUUGUUCCUUAUUGUUCUUGAUAGAUUAUAACAAUAUCUAUUUGAAUUUUGACCAGUUUGUCUUAUCUCUCAAAACAUCUGCAAUCUAUCACUAAAAAAAAGGGUAAAAAUUGGUGAGAAAUGUAAAGAACUAUACAAAAAGAAAAUAAAGUUAGUUAUAGUAUAGAAAGAGAAAAUGUGGUCAGUUAGAUAAUUUCAUCAAAAAAUUAUUAAUAAUAAAAGAUUAAUUGAAAAGAGCGUAUAAAAAGAAAAUUAACGGUUUCAAAUAACCUUAUCAAAACACCUUAUCCAUAUAGCCUUAAGAGUGUAUAAAAAGAAAAUUAAUGGUUUCAAAUAACCCUAUCAAAGCACCUUAUCCAUAUAGCCUUAUCGUUGUGUCAGUAGAGUUUAGCCACAAAUGAGUUAUUCUUGCUAAAUUCAUCAAAUUUAAGAAUAAUUUAAUAUUAUGAGAAAAAAUAAUAAUAAUGCAACAUAAGUUCAUCAUAAAGUGAUUAAUUUAUUAAUAUUAAAGUGAUUAAUUGGUAUAAGUUGGAAAAUAAAAAUAAUGCAGAAAAUAUGUUAAAAUUUUGUAAUAAUUAGAUAUAAAUGAGAUAAAUGAGAUGAAUGAGAUGUCAUGCAAGAUAAUUUCUUUGAGUGUUUUUUUAAGUUUAAUUUUUUUUUUUAAAAGACUCUUCAGUCUUCACAAUAUAUUAAAGGACUCACCAAUGAUGCCGAGUCAGUUGGUCUCAGUUACUGCACCAGCCACCCUCUACUCACUCACUUUUCUUACAGGAAAAAGCCAAAACAACUCUUAAACUAUCUCCGGCAUGGACAUUGAGAAACCGUCGAAUAAAACCGCCGGGAAACCAAUUCAAUGCAGAGGUAGGUAGCAUUUAUUUAUCAUACUGUACAAAUCUUCUAUUAUCAUUAAAUUAAAGUCAUCAAUAAUUCGCCUUGAGCAUGAAAUGAAUUAUAAUCGUUGACUUUCGCGUCCGCGUCGUAAAAAUCUGUAGCCGCAAUCGCUACAGCUCCAGGAGAGCCUCUGGUUAUAGACGAGGUUAUCGUCGACCCUCCAAAUUCCCACGAAGUUCGGGUUCGGAUAAUCUGUACUAGUCUCUGUCACAGUGACGUCACCUUCUGGAAAAUGAAGGUCUCUUAUCAAAGUCAAACCCUUUUGUAUUAUCUUUAGUUUUAUUUUUUUCUUUAAAAAAAUUAUUUAAUUUAUUUGCUUGUUAUUAUCGUUGUUUUAUUUUUCGUGAAGGAUUUUCCAGCCGUGUUUCCAAGAAUUCUCGGUCACGAGGCUAUCGGGUAAGAAUUAUAUUCUAUCUUUUAUACCUUUGUAAUUUUCUUUUUCCUUGCAUGACGGAUAUGUCUGAUGAAAAACUCAAUCUUGGCUGAUCAUGUGAAUGUGGCUUCAUUAAGCUAGUCAUUAAUUGUUUUGCUUAAUCUAUCCCAAUCUAUUUUUAGUGCUAAUGUUGACGCUGGGUUUUCCAUGGGGCCAACUUGGUUGUUCACGAUGAAUUGAGAGUGUUUGGCCCUUGGCUGACAUGGUCUAAAUAAUUAACAUUGUGUUGCAGAGUUGUGGAGAGUGUUGGGGAGAAUGUAGAUGGAGUGGUUGAAGGAGACGUUGUCAUCCCGCACUUUCUGGCAGAUUGUACAGAAUGUGUAGGUUGUAGAUCAAAGAAGGGCAACCUAUGUUCAGCAUUUCCUUUCAAGAUCUCUCCUUGGAUGCCAAGGGAUCAGACAAGCAGAUUCAAAGACCUCAGAGGAGAGACUAUACACCAUUUUGUCUCUGUUUCAAGUUUUUCUGAGUAUACUGUUCUAGAUAUUGCCCAUGUAGUCAAAGUUGAUCCUACAGUCCCUCCAAAUAGGGCUUGCCUUCUAAGCUGUGGAGUAUCAACAGGUACCAGCCACUGAUUUUGAGGCUAUUAAUUGUCUUGAUUAUAUGCAAUACAAGAUCUCUGUUUUCCACUGGCUUCAGUUCUCUCAGAUCAACUGGAAUUUGGAUUUUAUAGGCGUGGGAGCUGCUUGGAGAACAGCAAAUGUAGAGGUUGGAUCAACUGUUGUUAUAUUUGGGCUUGGUUCAAUUGGAUUAGCGGUAUGAUAUUGUAGAAAAUCGGUUGAGUGUUAUACACUUCCUGUUUGAACUUUCGUAUAUGGUAUACUGCUGAAAUAGGUUCAUAGAUAUCUUUUGGUAUCAGGUUGCAGAGGGAGCGAGAUUAUGUGGUGCUACAAGGAUUAUAGGCGUGGAUGUGAUCUCGGAAAAAUUUGAAAUUGGUGAGUGAAGUUUAUAUGUUGUACGGGCUUAGGUUUGACAGGGAAUAAUCUCCUCAUGUCAUCACAAAUAAAUAAUUGUUUGUGUGGACACAUCAUUAUGAAUCAACUAUUCGAAGUAUUUGAUAGAUACUAAGUUAAACAAUUCUGUUUUAUAGGCUAAUUGAAACUAUGAUUUCUGUGAUUUCUGAUUGAUGUUUAUCCACACAGGAAAAAGGUUUGGAGUUACAGAGUUUGUGAAUUCUAAAAACUGUGGGGAUAAAUCUGUAAGCCAGGUCUUGCUCUCAAUCUAUGAUCUUCCUCUUCUUACUAUUUCUGUUAGUUUCUAAUUUUGAGGUAGAGGAUGCCAUGUCAUGGCAGUUUACAUCCUUUUGGUGAUUUCAGCUUAUGUCUGAAGUGGUUUUUCCAUUAGGUUGUUUUAUCGUUUAAAGAACAAGCAUUUGCAUCUUUGGGGUGUCAACAAACUUGGAUCUUUUGUGUUGAACCUAAGCAUCACAGAGUAGUUAGUAGUUACUAUAUAAUUGAACAAGUUUGGACCUAAGAUACCACUCUUUUGAACCUUUGAGAGCUUAUGACUCCAUAAACUCUACAUAGGAUGACAAUGAAGCAUAAAUAGUGCAUUUUGUGAAAUCUUCUUUAUUUAUUGAUUCAGUUGAUGAGAUAGCCUGUGACUGCUAUCUCAUAUUUCCUUUUGAUUUUAUGCCUUCUCCCUGUGAUACUGCAGUUUAAGUUGUUAAUUCUUAUUACACUGCAAUGUAGAGGGAUAAAUCUUAUACCUCUGCAAUGAGAUGCUAUGAAUUAACCUACACUGCAUUGCAGUGUUAAGAAGGAUUAACCUACACUCCUUUUAAGAUAAUCAGUUACAGGAUAAUGUAUUAACCUUCUCUGCAAAGCAUUGUUGCAAGGAUAAUCAUAAAUCCAUAAAUACUAUUCAAUAUUAUAUUCUAGGUAUGGGAGAUGGAAACUGUUUAAAGCAAACAAUCUAUAUGCAGCACAUUAUGAAGAGUAAUCUCUCUCUUCUUUUUUUUUAAUUUGAUAGAUUAAUCUUUAACUACUAUUUCACUUAGUUUUUUCUUUAAUCAAUUUGAGCAGAUAAUCAUUGACAUGACUGAUGGGGGUGCUGAUUACUGCUUUGAAUGUGUUGGUUUGGCAUCCUUGGUGCAAGAAGCAUAUGCUUGUUGCCGAAAGGUCUGCUUCUAAGUCUCUCACUCUCUCACCCAUAGUGUUGUACAAGCAGAAUUAAUUUGAUUAAACAUAAGCUCAAUGUGACUAGGGUUGGGGGAAAACAAUUGUGUUGGGAGUGGACCAGCCGGGGUCACAGUUGAGCCUGAGCUCUUUUGAGGUCCUUCACAGUGGAAAAAUUCUGAUGGGAUCAUUGUUUGGAGGUCUCAAAGCUAAAUCUGAUAUUCCUAUUCUUUUGAAACGUUACAUGGAUAAGGUAAUUUAACCAUUAAUAUAAUGCUUAUUUACACACACACACACACACACACACACACACUUUUGCGUAGCCUAGCUUCCCAAAGAUCUUAUGUUAUGGUAGGUUAUAUAAUGCUCAUUACUUUUGCAUAUUCUUGCCUUGCCUAGCUCACAAAAGAAUCUUAAGUUCUAACUCUAUGGCAAUAAAUUAAUAAUGGUAGUUUUAUAAUGUGGUUCUAGACUUCUGUAUGCUCUCUUCUAGGCUUCACGAUUAUAGACUAAAUCGUAUGGUGACAUAUUAUUGCCAGCACAUCUUUGAUAAUACUAGUAGUGGUCUUAUGUUCCUUUUUCAGGAACUAGAGCUGGAUAAGUUUGUCACUCAUGAGAUGAAGUUUGAAGAAAUCAAUAGCGCGUUUGAUUUACUUAUAAAAGGAAAGUGUCUCCGUUGUGUGAUAUGGAUGGGCGAAUAAGAUUUCUUGCAUUAUUUUCUUGUAUGUACUUUCUCCAAUAAUUACCUCUCAUAUCUAAGCAAAUUGACCAACCAUUUGUGAUGGACCAUGUGUAUAUGAUACAAGAUUCGUUGGUUGAAUAAGUGACUUCUGAAAAAUUUUAAAUUUGAAGAAUCUUUUUUACCUUAUGACCAAGAGCAAUUUAAUUAUGUUAGGGCUUACCAGCUUUGUAUCUAGAGAUAGAAUGCGUUUGGUAUCAAGCAGAAUUAUAUGCCUCUUUUCUUAUAAUGGAUUCGUAUUCUGGGUAAAACUGCGCUAUUUUAUUGACCUUACAGAAAGUAUAUCAUUGAUCAGUUUCCUCGAUCCUCAACCUCUCAGCAUUUGAAUUGGAAGAAUCGCUGGCUGCACUAAUAUCAUCUGGAUACCUGUUAGGGAGCUUUUCUGUUAGUCCAUUUAACAAGUAGCAAUGAACGAUUUAAGUCACACGACAAAUUGCUUCUAGCACAUUUAUUUGGGAGCACUUGGCUAGGUAUCGUUAACGGGAACAUCAAAUUGAAUUUAUUACGUGAAAAACUUUUUUCUUUCAUUAUCAUAAUAAUUGCGAUAAUAUUGAUCGACCCAAAAAUAGAAAAUAGUUAAUGGGAACAUCAAGUAGAAUUUAUUACGUGAAAAACUUUUUUCUUUCAUUAUCGUAAUAAUUGCCAUAAUAUUCACCGACCCAAAAAUAAACAAAUAGGUGAGUGACAUAUUUGAGUUUCAAUUUGAAUCAUAAUAUUAUGUAUCAUUCAUCUAUCGUAUGAUAAAUAUAAAAUAACUUAAUAUCUUAUUUUAUUAUUUAAUAAAUAAAUAUUACAUUAAUUGAAAUUUAAGUUAACACUCAAAUGUUAGAAUUCUUAACAUUACCUUAUUAGAAAUAAGCAUAUAAUCUAUUGAUAUCAUACGGUAAAUUUUAAAUUUCAAAACCGGAAGUUUUAAAUGGAAUGAAUGCACCACGUCAUGAAAUAUAAAUAUGUGUUCAAAAUAAUUCAUUAUAUGGAAAUUUGCAAACUAUAAGAUUGUGUUAGGUGGACAUUAGAAUGAUACAGAAUGCUGAUUUAAAUGGAAACUAAAAAAACCCACCACGUCACCAGAUCUGAUGAAUAAUUUGUAACGGAUAAAACCUUUAAAUGGAAACUUGCAAGUGAUAGCCAUUCCCGCUUUCACUUUCUCGCAAUGCUCUCAAUAUCAUUGUUCAGUUCAGUGGCAUGGAUAUUGAUAUCGAGAAGAAACCGUCGAGUAAAAUCGCCGGGAAACCAAUUCGAUUACAGAGGCAGUGAUUGCAAACAAAUAUAAAGAUAAUAAUUAAUAUUUUCAUUUUCUCAAAAGUCAUCCGUAUUUCUCGUCCUGGUCUUGAAAAUCUGCGGCCGCAAUUGCUAGAGCGGCAGGGGGCAGGAGAGCCUCUUGAUGUAUAGAAGAGGUUAUUGUGGACGCUCCAAAAACACACGAAGUUCGACUACGGAUCACCUGUACGAGCGACAUCACAUUCUGGAAAAUGUAGGUCUCUAAUAUAUAUCUUACAACUAUUAUCUUCAAUUUGCUGAAAUAAAUUUAAGCUUUAUGCUAUGAUCUUACAAAUCCGUUCAACACGUCAUACGGGAGAAAGGCAGGAUUUUACCUUGGUUGGCCAUGAAAUGGACGCGCUGCUCAGCUUGUUUAUGGCCCGUGAAUUCAGCCUUCUGUUCUUCUAAUUUGUAGCAAGUCUUGGCUUCAAUCGCAGCUGCAAAAUCAAGCUACUCAUUCACUGUACAUACACGCACGGUGGGAGAGAGAGGAGAAAAGAUGCACUGCACUUUUUCCUUAAUAUCAAUCUUGAACAGUGAAUUCCCUUAAAUAUUGUGGGGGCGUUCAUGAGUUGAUACAAAAUUGUUCAUCUCAUUACAAACUAAAAUAAUAUAAUUAAAGGUUAUAUUUAUUUAUAAUAUGCGAUUAUAAAGGAUGUAAUAAAAUUAGACUGGUAAACACAAUAUAUAAUCACUUUAUAAAUGAGUGUAUAAAAAUUACUCCUUAUUAUUUGACAUCAGUCAUAUAUUAAUUUGAUAGAAUAAAAAACAAUUAGAAUAAUUUAUACUAGUCCACAAUAUGUUAUAAAUAAAUCCAAGAUAAUUAUGUCACAUUUUAUUUAUAUUAUUUUAUUUUGUUGUUAAUAUAUACUGUAUAUUGGUUUUAUCUUUCUUCAUGGAAUUUCGGUUGUUUUUCCAAAAAUUCUAUGGUCACAAGGCUAUCAAGUAAGAAAUAAUAUAUUGUCGAGUGUUCUACCUUUCAACCUACCAUUUUUAUGAAAAAAAUAGAAUUAUCAAGUAAAAGUUUAUAAUUUACAAUGAAUAUGACUCUUAAAUAAUAAUUUUGAUAAAAAUAAUAAAAAUAUCAUAGGUUUUUCAUUAUAUAAAUAGUGGAUCAAAUCAACUUAACUUUCAGGUUAUAACUGCUAAUGUUUACCGAUAACUUUAAUGUUAUAUCUUUUAACCUAUAAUUAUCCAAUCUCAACAAAUAAAGGUCAUAGUGAACCGCGUUAUUUAAGAUAUUGCAACCAUCCAUAUUAAUCAAGUAGAAAUUAAAUUGAAUUAGUAUCACUAUCACUAUCUAUUGUCAGUGCUAAUAACGCAAGAAAUUUAAUAUUAGCUGCUAGAAUCAUGAUAACGAGAGAGUUUGCCAGGGGACGAAUAAUUAACAAUAAUAGUACGUAUGCAGAAUUGUGAAGAGUGUUAGGGAGAAUGAGGACGAAAUAGGAGAGGGAGAUAUUGUCAUCCCACACUUUGUAGCAGAUUCGACCGAACGUGUAGACUGUAGAUCAAAGAAGAGCAACCUAUGUUCAUCAUUCCCCUUCGAGAUCUCUUCUUGGAGGAUGCCGAGAGAUAGGACAAACAGGUUCAAAGACCUAAGUGGAGAGACCAGACACCAUUUUCUGUCUCUUUGAAGUUUUUCCAGGGUACCCUGCUGUAGACGUUGCCCAUCUACUCAAAGUUGAUUCUACUGUCCUCCAAAUAGGGCACGCCUUCUAAGCUUUGAUGUGUCAACAAGAAGCAGUCAUUCAGUUUGUUCUGUAUCACUUGCUUUUUAAUUUGGUUGAAUUCGACAAUUCCAACAACUCCUAUUUCGAUUUUUACAGGCUUGGAAAACAGCAUAUGUGGAGGCUGGAUCAACCGCUAUUAUAGUUGGCCUUAUCUUGUACGGUACACAUUAAUUUGUUUGGUUGAGUAAGUGUUAUGUGAUAUAAUUGCUAAAAUAUAUAUGCUCAUAGUCAUAGAUAUAGAUAAUACAUUUUUGUUAUAAUAUAGAGGUUGCAAAGGUUGCAAGACUGUGCGGUGGCACAAGGAUUACAGAUGUGGAUGUGAAUCAAGAGAAAUUUGAAAUUGGUGAGUGAGAUUCUAAUGAUAUACAGUAUUUGGCAUUGGUUUGUCAGGGGAUAAUGGACACAACAUCGUGAGAUCAACCAUUCCAAGCUUUUGAUGUGUGGGCACCAGUUCUAUUUUUAUAGGCCACCGGAAACCAUGAAUUCUGAUUGAUAUUCAUCCACCUACAACAAAAAAAAAAGCUCGGAGUAACAGAGUUUGUAAAUUCUAAAAACAGUGGGGAUAAAUCGGUAGGUGACGUCUUGCCCUCUCAAUCGAUUAUCAUACUCUCUGGCUGUAAUAUUUUAAUUCUAUAAUGACUAAGGGCGUAGCCAGCAUAGGACCAGGUGGGGCACAUGCCCCAACUGGCUUUUAAAAUUUUUUUUUAUUGGUUUUCUGAAAAAAAAAAUCUAUAUUUUAUUUAUUAUUUAUAAAAAUACCUCAGGUGAAUUGCGAAACUUUGAAAAUGCCACAUGUAAUUUUAAAAAAAUUUUAUAUUGCCCCCAACUUAAAUGCCAAAUUCUAAAUAAUUUGAUUAGCUAUUAUAAUUUCAUAAAAAAUAAUAAAGACAAACAAGAGAACCAUUUAUCAAAUGAAAUCCAUUAAAAAAUCAAUUAAAAUAAGUGAAAUCUAAACUUUACUCUUUUUUUUCCGUCUCUUCCAUGGAAUAAAGUGUGGUGGGUGGACUCCAUAGCAGUCAUCACCAUGUGCGUGGAUUUCUUCUCACUUUUCUUCUUACUUCAAGAGUUAAACAUUCAUUUUAAUAAGGUAAACACUGAAUUACUUUGUUGCUUGGCUUGUUUAUGUCCAAAAGAUUCAUUUGCAGCUUUUAAUAAAAAAAAGUUAUUGCGCCUUGCUCAACUUUAUCCAAGAGAUUUUUCUCCAGUUGAUCUCAUGGCACUAGAUAUUCAACUUGAUGUUUACAUAAUGGAUAUGCAAUCUAGUGUUGAGUUUUCAGGAUUAAAUGGGAUUAGCAAUCUUGCACAAAAAAUGGUUAAGACUAACAAGCACAAGAUGUUUUCAUUGGUCAAUUUAUCAGUCACAUUAUCAUUACUUUUACCAAUUGCCACCGCUACUGUUGAAAAAGUUUUUUCAACUAUAAAUUAUGUAAAGAAUCGACAACGCAAUUAAAUGAAAGAUAAAUGGUUGAAUGAAUGAUAAUCUGGCAGUAUACAUUGAAAAAGAUUUAUUUGAUUGCAUUGAUAAUGAAACUAUUUUACAACAUUUUCAACACAUGAAAUCCCAUCAAAGAAUUAUCGAUUAGAACAAUUGUAAUAAGUAAAUUUAUUAUUAAUUUAUAUUAUAGUUGUGAUUGUAUUUACUGUAAUCUAAAUUUUCAAAAUUUAUUAUCAAUUUAUAUUAUAUUGCGAUUCUAUAUGUUGUAAUAUAAUUUUCAAAAUUAUACUACAUUUUUAGUGUGCCCCCAGAUCAAUUAAAUUCCUGGCUACGUACCUAUGACUAACUACUAAGCUUUAAUAUUUACUCGGUCGUGUCUUUAUGACCAAUUUGAGCAGGUAAUCAUGGAGACGAGUAAUGGGGUUGCUGAUUGCUGCUCUGAAUGCGUUGGUUUAGCAUCCUUGAUGCAAGAAGCAUAUGUGGAUCGUUGCUCCAACGGCGUAAAGACACUUCUGGAGAAAUAUCGCUUAUGUUGUUUCCCUCGGUCGACCAAGCUGGCGUGUUAUCUUCUGCUUUCUCAGAGAAUUCCCAACAAUCAUCACCAGCAUCCAAAGCUGCUGAAUCUGCUUCUACACAUGAAUAGAUAGGUAUUCACACAAAAGGAACUUAUGAACAGAAAAAUCUAUUGUACACUUUCAUUCUACAGUAGCGCAAUUUCAAGAAUAUCCUUAGUAGAAUGCUAAAUCAAAUUAAGCUAGUAGAAAGUAAAGCUUCAAACUAAUUGACAUAAUUAAUCAAUUAAUUACAAAGAGCCCCAUUUGUUGUUUCAUUUAUCAAAUGAAUUUGAAUCCAUUACCGGUCUCUUAUAUAUAAUUUUUAGUGAGAAAAAUAAAAAUAAAAAAUAGAAUUCGCAAACCAGAAGGUGAGCUGAAAAAAUGACGGCGAAAAGCAGUAAACUGAGCAAAGACAUUAGCAGCGUCAAGAUAAUCGCCAGCUGAAAUCCAAACCGAAACCGCCGCGCUGCGAGCAAAACCCAAAACCUCUCGAGGCCGAAACAAAUCGGAACGACGCCGUUCUUCCAAGCUCGACAAAACAUUUUUGCCGGACAACUUCAGGGCGUGAUUCAGCAAGUCGUCGUUCGUGCACUUGCGGACGAGGGAUUUGAAAUUGGGCUCGAAAGAAACCACUUCCGAUUCGAUGAAAUAUCGACAGCGAGGGCAGUUUUGAGAAUUAAUAUUAUUAUUGUUGUUGUUGUUCGAGGAGAAGGAGACUAAGAUGCCGAGAGAGUCUUGCCUGAUAACAACACCCGGCCACCAUUGCUGAGGAUACACUAUUCUUGACCACACUAUCUCUCCCCUCUCAAUUUUUGAAUUUCGCUCCUCCUUCUCCAUUUUAAUAACAGCCAUCAGCUUCCCUUUUACGAUUCCAUUCUCUUGCGCAGAUUGAUGUCCAGAGAAGUUUGGGGGGCCACUCACCAGUUUCAUCAAUAAAAAGUUAUUUUCUUAUUAUUGUUGAUCACCAUAUUAUUUCUAUAUAUUUUGGUUAUAUCAUCUUCAUUGUACGUAUGAUGUGUCUCUUAUAUUUCCAAAAUUUAAUGUGAAAAAAAUAUUAAUCGGCCAAUAUGUUUUUAUUAUGAUGGUGGGAUCGAUUAGAUUUAUGAAGAUUAAUUAUUUUUUUUCAAUCGUGCGGCAUUUUCCUACUAAGGUUUUAGAUUUUUAUUAGGUUUGGUAUGCCAAUGCCAUUAUGCAUAUGACUAGAUUGAGAUAGUCUAAUAUUUAGUAUUGUCUCGUAUUUAGUGUAUAGUUAGUAAUAUGGAUGGACAAAUUAAUAAAUUUAUCAGCCUGCCUAAUCAUUAGUAAUUGUAUUAAGUCAUGCAUUAGCAUACAAGAUGCCUAAUUUAAUACAAGUGAGGUUUGCCGUUGGGCAGCUUCAUAUUAUUUAAUUUUCUUGUACAAGAAAGUAGAAUAAUCACCCAUGCGGAAGCCCAUGCGUGUUCUAUGUAUUAUGGUAGCUAGCUUUAUAUUGUGACUCUACGCAGUCCUCAAUUUAUAUUAAUCAUCCAGUGCUGCCAAAAUAUUAAAUACAAAUGAUGUUUGGCGUUCGGCAGCUUCAUAUUAUUUAAUUUUCUUAUUCAAGAAAGUAGAACAGUCAGUCACCCAUGUAUGUAUAUAUAAAAUCUCCUAUGAGACUGUAAACGCACUAGAUGCACCCGUGAAGUAGUGAUUUGUAGAAUUAACUGCUUUCUUAGAUGACCCAAAAUGCCGUAGCCGAUAAACUCCGGGGAUAGCCUUCGUCGGCACUUCCCAUUCAAUGGUUGCUAAGCCAUGGAAACUAGUAUUCUCCAAACUCCACUUGAAAUACAGGGAGAAAUCGUCAUCGUCAUAAACCGGAAUCCAUCGCUUCCCCUGAAGCAUUUCAACCACAGCAUAUGUUCCUUCUGUUAACAGAUCAUACCUAGGGUUGGCACUCCAAAAUGUGGCACUUGGUCUAUCGCCCUUGUUAAAUGAACCGUCUUUUGGUUGAUUGAUAUCUUCCUUUAUGUCACCAAACAUUUUGCCUGCCGGAGGCGAGUCUCCGGUUGGGUUUAGUGAAAGGCUGAGUUGCACGGAUGAAAGAUCCGGUGGCGAAGGACCCUUCGUGGUUUUUUCUCCUUUUGCCAUUGCUUGUGCUAAUUUUUUGAAUUCUUGAAUGUAUGCUGGCAAUGUGUGGGGUCCGUAAAGCGUUGACGCAGCCUGCAGCACAUAUCAUUUUGGCAUCGAUCGAUGUGAUUAGAAUAGAAUUUCUUCCGUCAAAUCCUAAAAGAUUUUUCUUAUUUAAUUUAUUUUAAUUUGGAAUAAGUACCUCAUAUCGUUGAUGUGCGUAUUCUUCGAAUGUUGCAAUGUAUUGUGAAUAAGCGUUUGUAAGUCCUGCUAUUACGAUGUGGGUGUCAUUAUCAAAUUCCCCAUUUCCAUUAUUUAUUAGAGUGUCCUUAACUGCUUCCCGUAAUCUUCGACCCGCCAUUGUUGUAAACUCUGCACUUUCAAAUAGUUAAAUCUUGCCCCACAACAGAAUAUUAAUCACAGUUUCUUUGAAGCUAAACUAUACUUGUUAUUAAAAGAAAAAGUUUAACCCAUUUACUAAAAGCAAAGCUAUACAUACACCAUUUUGAUAAAUAGAGAAGGAAUUUGCGUAUAACUGAGCUAACCUCCCGGUACAGAAAGUAUGAUAAGCUUUCCCAACCUCAGAAUUUGAAUUGGGAGAACCGCUGGCUGCAUUGAUAUCAGAAAUAUGAUUAUCAGAAAAUGUUCUUUUAAGCUGCCAAAUUGCUGUCUAAUAACUUUAUUUUCUUUUGGCUCGGAGUUUCCAAGAUUAGCAAAUUCAUGCACAAGAAAAAUUCAGCACGUUACCGCCCAUGCAUAAGGUUCAAACAUUUCGCCGGAGGAUAGCAGAACAGCCUUUGGCUUUUGACAUUCCUCCUGAUACUGGCUUGGCUUUUUCAAUACGUCCCUCAACUGUUUCCACAGUUUAUUGAUCUAAAAACAUUAAAUAACGAGACAAAAAAAUCACGGGUUUAAAUACCUUGUUCAUUUAACCAAAAAGAAAAAGAUCUAUUGACAAUCAAAUGCCUGAAUCGGUGAGCCCUGACCUCUGUAUCACCUUGUUGAAAACCAAACACACCAGGUCCAUCUGUAGUUCCGGCGGCGAACCCUGGGCCUAGGGCUGCAGGGCAAGUCUUGACUGUGUUGUUUCCUGUUCCAUCCAAUACAACCUCAAUAUUUGUGAAGUUUAUGUAGACAUGACGAUAAUCAAUCUUUCCGCUCAAUUGAUCGGUUGCAGAAUUGAAUAAAUCAACAGCCUUUUGGAAUUGCCUUUCUCCUAUUAUCUUUGUGCUUAAUAUUUCGUCUGGAUACCUGUUAAAAUAGUUACAGAUUAGUUUAACAUGUUGAGCAAAAAAUUCAUUAGUUUCUUUGAAUGAAUUGAUAUAUUAGUACCCAGGUCCACGGCCUAUGCAGAGCUGGUCAUCGCCAUGACAUGAUGAGUGAUUGAAGUCACAAGGCUUUCCACUAUCAAUGCAAAAUGCUCCUAGCACAUUUGGGGUCACAUCUCCAACAUUUGAUUGGCAAAACGCUCCCACAAAUAGCGAUCCAUCGUUCUUCCUCACUUUGAAUCCUUGGCUUGUUGUUUUUCCACAUUGCUGUCCUCCAGUGGCCUUGAUUGUUUUCGAUUUCUCCAUCAAUUUGCCAAUAUCUAUUUCAAAUGAAUACUGCACAUGAGUUAAAUCUCGCAGUGAUCAUGGAAUCCUAAUUUGAACAAAAAUGAAAUCAAGAUUUUUCUUGCAACAUGGACAUCUAUUCAUCUAGUUGGAAGCUGCCGUUUCAGCUACAAAUUUUGAAUGCCCAAGGUGUUUGAUAUGUAUUGUUAACAAUAACCGAAUGGGUUAAAAGUUACAGCACCCUAUCCCGACCCGAACGGCUCUUCUGUGUUAAAACAACUUACCCGAUGAGGUAGAAAACUUACUGGUUGUUGUGGAGGAAGAUUCGUUUUUGGAACUGAACCAGUCUUCAAAGAACCUGGCAGCAGCGCCCUUGUUGUCUCCGCUGAUGAGCAAAUUGUCUCUGGACAUAGAGGUGCCGUGUGUAGCAUACCAAUUGAAGGCUCCUAUGCUCUUCCCGCUUGCUGCAUCAACAAAUUUCAGAAGGGUCAUUUCUUUGUCAACGUUUUCUGGGUAUCGAGCCCUCUCCUCCGCUGGAUUAAGCAGAUAUGCACUUGGACUCCUGUUUAUUCCAGCAUUUUCUACGUCCCCUGAAGCAUAAACAAGACAAAUGACAUGGAAAUCAUUUUGUUAAUUUGCUUAAGGAUAUCGAUUCAAUGCAUGCGCAAACAGCUUCAAAACUGAACACGGACCUUUUCUAAUGAAAAUUGAACCAGGCUUUAAAUUGUUGUGAGCCUGAACAAUGCUCUGGACAAUUGCGGUGACAAUGGCAUCAAACGAUUGUUGGACAAAUCCUAGAGACGUGAUAGAGUAAAUCAAGUACUGCAAGUAACCCCCAGGUCCGGCAUGAGUAUGGAUUCCACUGAUUGCUAUGUUCUCUUCAGUAUACAAAUUUCCAAACCUUCGAAACGAGUAACAUUAUAUGAGAUCACCAAUUAAGCAAAUUCUGACAUCUUAAGGUGCUUUUUAAGUUUCGCUUGGCUUAUUUACUGUACCUUGUUUUAAGUUUCUCUAGCACUUUAGUAGUAACAAGUUGUGAAGCCAUGCCGGCAUCAAGAUUCACAAAAGCAAAUCUUGUUCCGUUGGAACUCUCGGCCACAAUGAAAGUUCUAGCUCUAAGACGGAAAUGAAUCCCUGCAGUAUUUUGGAAAAGAUUGGCAUAACCCAUCAUGUUUAUUCCAGCAGCGGGACCUGUCAUGUCAUAGCUCCCUACUCCGACCAAAUACUGACCAUCUGCACUUCUUAUUAGAGCAAAACCAAAAACGAUAGCAAUAAUAAGUGACAGAAAAUACAAGUGUUGGUUUAUUUUGCUAACCAUAAUUUCUUUGUGGGACCUGGAUUGUAAAAUCCGGUAGUCAUGAAGUUGUUGUAUAUAAAGAUACGGAGUAUGGAAUUUCUUGGACUUGUUGACACAAAACGUUUCUUAGUAUGUCGUGAUUAGAUUCUUCGUCUUAUUGUCAACGCCUCACUUGAAAAAUAGAUUGUUCGCUUACUUUGUCUAAGAUGUCCCGAGGUUGAGUUGGCACCAAAGAAUCUCUUCUUGGGUUGCUCCGCACGCGGAGAGUGACGAGGCCCGUUCUUGUCUAUCAUCGGGUAUUUAUUAUUCUGUUUACAUGCUUUAUCUGAAUCAUAUAAUAUGAUCAUAGUGCUUUACAUUCAAUUCAAUGUUUUAUUGCUAAUGUACAAAAUUGAUGGGUUUCGCAAUUAAGUAAUAUGCUAUUGGAUCAUCUCAAUAGCGAAUUAAUGGACAUGGGACUAGUCCAGAUUCCAAUUUGUACUCCUUAAUGGGUCUCGUUAUCUAGUGCCAACAUACUAUUACUUCUUCUCAGCAUGCAUCAAAAAACUAAUAAAUUCUGUCGUGUAUUUAUUUGGGUUGAAAUCUGCCAAAUAAUUACAGCCGGUUCCUUCUAAAAAAAAAAAAAAAGAAAGCUGGUUGCUAUAUAUAUUAAGUGAAUAAAUAUUGUCAUCAUCUACCCGUUGAUUGUAUCACCUUCUUCCUACAAUUAUAGACUUUUUGAACGCAAUGACUUAGAACUAGAGCUGGCAAAAUUUGACACGACCCGAUUACCCGACACGAACACGACAUAAAUAAAUGGGUAUGGGUCAUCAAAUUUAACACGAUUAUUAAAUGAGUUGGGUCCGGGUCAACACGAUUUUUUUCCGUGUCGGGUUUGGGUUAAAAUUCUUGACCCAUUUACCCGAUCAAUGACCCGAUUAUAUUUUCUAUUUUAAAAUAAUUUACAUAUUCUUAUAAUUAAAACUCAAAUAUUAGAGAUGAUUUUCUUUUUUUUUAUUCUUUAAAAGGGUGAAUAUAAACACAAUGUUUUAUUUAUAAAAUUUUACAUACAUUUAGAGCUUCAAUAGUGUAAAUGUGUAAAAAUUGAUAGACAUGUAUAUUUUAUAAUAUUGAUAUAUAAUAUUAUUGAUAUAUAAUAUUAUAUAUAUAUAAUUAAAACCUCAAUAGUAUACAUGUGUAAUAUAUUGGUAGAUAUGUAUAUUUUAUAAUAUCGAUAAAUUAUGUAUGUAUGUAUUUAUGUACAUACGUAUGUAUGAUAGUGUGUAAAUAUUUGAUGUAACUUUUGUUCAAUAUAUAAAUAUUAAACGGGUUAUUGGGUAAUCCGAUUAUUUUUUCGUGUCGGGUUUGAGUCUCAAUAUUUUGACAUGAUUAUUAAAUAGGUCGGGUUUGGGUCGACCUAAAUUUGACACGACACAAAACUGACACGACACGAACACGACUCGAUGAUCCAUUUUGCCAGCUCUACUUAGAACCACCCAACUCGCGUUAAUCAUUUAGUCAUGGACAAUUACAUGGGUUUAAUUUAAAACCGAUUGGGCGAUAAUUUGUUACCUAAUGUCAGAAAUAGCAAAACGACAAGGAAUUAGACCUCAAAAAAGAAAAAGAAAAAGAAAAAUCAUAUAUCGUCCGCACAAAACUUAAGAAAGAAGUUUUUGGGGACAGCUCACGAUUUGGACUUAUAACUUCUGUUCUUCUCAUUUAAAUAUGCAGAUGAAAUGAUAGAUGAAUCGUCUUUUCAAAAUUAGAGCCUGAUUCAAAUUAUUCCACUUAUAACGAAGACGCUAGAGAUCUAAAGAGUUACACGUCCAGAGUCUGCAUGGACCCGCUAUUACACCUGGCCAUAUUCAUCGUUCAUCAGUCGAGUGGCCUUUCAAUUAAGAUUCUCAAAAAUUUAAGGCCGUCUAUUUAUUUUCACUUCAUAACUGUGUCACUCAUUUAAUAAAAUUUAAUAUUUUCUCUCUAUAAUUUUUAACAUAAUUUUACAAAAUCAAUAGUUUUACAUGCUUAAUUUUUUAAUCAAUUUUAUUUUUAAAUAUAAAUAAAUGAUAUUUAAGAUAAGAAAAUAUAAGACAAAUCUAUUGAUUAAGAUAUAUAAACAAUAUAAGAUAAUUAAUUAUGUCAAAAAUAAAUAAUCAUAUUUGAAAUUCAAAACUUAAUUCUAGUACAGUGAUUAAUAAGAUUAACAUGAACCAACUUAUCCAGUAAUUGUAUAAAUUUAAUCAUCAAAACUCAGAUCUAUGAAUCGUGUCAGAUUUUGCAACGUCAGACUUAUGAGUAUUCUGGGCUCUUCCCAGGGUCCACGUCUACAAAGGUCCACAAUUUACGUGCAUGAUGUCGACUUAUCCGCAAUCAGUGUUUUUCAUAACUUUAAUAUAGAUGACUGCUGUACCGUACAUCCGCCUUGGCCGUACAGCAGUUUAUAGCAAUCAAAGCAUCAUUACAAUUUACAAGCACGCAGGUGGUACCCAGCGUUCACACCAAAGUUUACCAAAACUCAUACAGCAAUGAAACUAUUUCACGUUAUUCAUCCAAGUACAUAAACAGCACUUAUACAUUAAGCAUAAAAUCAAAUGGUAAUAAAGGCAAAUUUAAAAAAAAAAAAAAAAGCAUUACAAAGGAGAAAGAACUGAACAAACCACACAAACAGGAGACCGGCAAAAACAGUAAUUGUAUCAAACACAUUACAAAUUUAAUCUUCUUAAUUAAUGGGCAGCAGUUUCUUUGUCCUUAUCCUUUUCGUCCUCAGACUUUGGGUGGUAGCCAGGGAGCUUCUCCUUGAGUUUCUCCAAUAUGCCCUUCUUCUCCUUGGCCUCUGCCUCAGGAGCCUCGACUGAUGUGGGGUGCUCAGCAGCAGGAGGAGAAGGGACCUGAUGAUCUUCAGGUUUCUUUUGCUGUCCUGGUAGUUUCUCCUUGAUCUUGUUGAGAAAUCCUUUCUUUUCUUCAGGAUGGGCUUCUUCCUGGUGGUGGGGAGCAUGGACAUCAUCAAGUUUCUCGACAGGGACUGUCGUGUCCUCUUCUUUCUCACCUGAUAUUUUCUCCUUGAGCUUCUCCUUCAGUCCCUUCUUUUCCUUCUUCUUCUUCUUCUUUUCCUCAUCAUCGCCCUCCUCCUCAUCGCUUGACUGCACACACACACACACACACACACACCAAAAAAACAAUUUAAAAUACGAUACUUAGGAUCAUUCGUUCAGAUUGUUUUUAUUUUUUUAUCAUAAAUUAAGAUGAUUAACAAAUGAAGAAACAGAAACUUACAGAGCUAGAGCUGCUGGUGGAUCGGUGAAGUUUGUCUAAGAAACCGGGCUUCUUCUCUUCCUCUUUCUCCUCCUUCCUGUGUUCCUCUACCUUUGGCUGAGGCUCAGAGACAUGAACUUUCUCAAACUCGGUGGCGAUCACCUCCUGAUCGUGAUGUUGAGGUUUCUCCUCUUCUUUCUUCCCCAAGAAAUCAAGCAUCCCGCGAUCCUUGGUCUCCACUGCACCUUCCGUCCCAACACUCGGCUCGUACUCAUGGCUCUUCUGCUGCUUCUUGAUCUCUUCAGCCAUACUUGUCAAUUAUCACUCACAAACAACAAUUUUUAACAACAGAUCAACGGACAAGAACACAGAGAUAUGUGGUAUGUGCAAUAAAGUAAGUUUUCGAGCUUCUUUAAGGAAUUUUUGCUUACUUAAGACACAGAGUACGUGUGCUUUUAUAGUGUCACACCACGCGGAUCUGACGCGAUUAAGAGAAUAUAAAAGCCCAUUUGGAUUAGCCAAUCACAACUAGCUCCAGUGACCGACGUGUACCUUAAGACAAAGCAGAAAACAACCAAUCCACUCUCUCGAAUAACUUAAAAACCAUUACUCGCUUUCUCUUAUUGACAGCUGUCUAUCGCUGAACGUGUCGAAUCCUUAAGGCGAGUGGAGGGGCUUGAAAAGAGGAGAACGGCGAUUUAACGGACAAAAGAAGAAAGUAGAAAAAUGGAGAGGGAGACACGCUGUACCGUAAUGGUGGUGCUGGGAUACGACCGAA